rnacentral:rRNA from 1 species
CAGUAGCCGCGGGAACACGAAGGGUGCAAGCGUUAAUCGGAAUUACUGGGCGUAAAGCGUGCGUAGGCGGUGAGUUAAGUCUGCUGUGAAAUCCCCGGGCUCAACCUGGGAAUGGCAGUGGAUACUGGCUCGCUAGAGUGUGUCAGAGGAUGGUGGAAUUCCCGGUGUAGCGGUGAAAUGCGUAGAGAUCGGGAGGAACAUCAGUGGCGAAGGCGGCCAUCUGGGACAACACUGACGCUGAGGCACGAAAGCGUGGGGAGCAAACAGGAUUAGAUACCCCCGUAGUCCCUGUCUCUUAUAC